rnacentral:rRNA from 1 species
CGUCGCCACAGUAAUACAGAGGUCUCAAGCGUUGUUCGGAUUCAUUGGGCGUAAAGGGAGCGUAGGCGGUCGGGUAAGUUGGAUGUGAAAUCCUGGGGCUCAACCUCAGAACUGCAUUCAAUACUGCUUGGCUAGAGUACUGGAGAGGUGAGUGGAAUUCACGGUGUAGCAGUGAAAUGCGUAGAUAUCGUGAGGAAGACCAGCGGCGAAGGCGGUUCACUGGACAGUUACUGACGCUGAUGCUCGAAGGCCAGGGGAGCAAACGGGAUUAGAUACCCCAGUAGUCCCUGUCUCUUAUACA